UGCGUAGGCGGUGUUAUUAGUCGGGUGUAAAAUCCUGGGGCUCAACCCCAGACUCGCAUUCGAAACGGUAACACUAGAAGAAGUAAGAGGUGAACAGAACUCUCGGUGUAGGGGUGAAAUCCGUUGAUAUCGAGGGGAAUACCAAAUGCGAAGGCAGUUCACUGGUACUCUCUUGACGCUGAGGCACGAAAGCGUGGGUAGCGAACAGGAUUAGAUACCCUGGUAGUCC
rnacentral:rRNA from 1 species